AUUGAACGCUGGCGGCAUGCCUUACACAUGCAAGUCGAACGGUAACAGGUCUUCGGAUGCUGACGAGUGGCGAACGGGCGAGUAAUACAUCGGAACGUGCCUAGUAGUGGGGGAUAACUACUCGAAAGAGUGGCUAAUACCGCAUGAGAUCUACGGAUGAAAGCAGGGGAUCGCACGACCUUGUGCUACUAGAGCGGCCGAUGGCAGUUUAGGUAGUUGGUGGGAUAAAAGCUUACCAAGCCGACGAUCUGUAGCUGGUCUGAGAGGACGAUCAGCCACACUGGGACUGAGAAACGGCCCAGACUCCUACGGGAGGCAGCAGUGGGGAAUUUUGGACAAUGGGCGCAAGCCUGAUCCAGCAAUGCCGCGUGCAGGAUGAAGGCCUUCGGGUUGUAAACUGCUUUUGUACGGAACGAAAAGCCCCGGGUUAAUACCCUGGGGUCAUGACGGUACCGUAAGAAUAAGCACCGGCUAACUACGUGCCAGCCGCCGCGGUAA
rnacentral:rRNA from 1 species